rnacentral:rRNA from 1 species
AUACGGAGGGUGCGAGCGUUAAUCGGAAUUACUGGGCGUAAAGCGCGCGUAGGCGGUUUGGUCAGUCGGAUGUGAAAGCCCUGGGCUCAACCCGGGAAUGGCAUUCGAUACUGCCUGACUAGAGUAUGGUAGAGGGAAGUGGAAUUUCCGGUGUAGCGGUGAAAUGCGUAGAUAUCGGAAGGAACACCAGUGGCGAAGGCGACUUUCUGGGCCAAUACUGACGCUAAGGUGCGAAAGCGUGGGGAGCAAACAGGAUUAGAUACCCGAGUAGUCC